CGCCCCAGUCCUUGUGUGUUCAUCAUGCCUGUCCUGCCCUCACUGUAUAGUCAUUCUAGUGCCUGUGUGCGCUGCCGGCUUCUUUGUGUUUUGGCUCUGUCCUCGCUGUGGAUUCUUCAGCUGUUACUCUGGUCAUCAACCUGCUUCCGUUGUCAUCAUCUGGUCUGCCUGCUUCAGCCAGUCACCGUCAUCUGCUCCCUAAAUCCACCUGUAGCUUCUCAAGCUGCAGAUGGUUCAGAACUCGGCCGCCCCGUAUCAUCAUCACCCAAACGUCUUCCUACAAUCACGUCAACCCCGGUCGUCAGCAGAUCAGCCUCCUCCUCUGUCCUACCACCAUGGGAUGCAGGGCCUUCAGUCGCUCCACUUCUCAAUUUCACUGCCCUUUGACUUACAAAACAUCACUUCAUUGUUUAAAACUUGUCUGAAAAUCCAUCUCUUUAGAUCAGCUAAUCCUUAAAUUAAUUCCGUUAUACAUUUGUCUUAAUCUCCGAUCUUACUGUACUUCUAUUUUAACGUUUGAUUUUA